rnacentral:rRNA from 1 species
GACGCUGGCGGCAGGCCUAACACAUGCAAGUCGAGCGGCAGCACGGGGAGCUUGCUCCCUGGUGGCGAGCGGCGGACGGGUGAGUAAUGCAUAGGAAUCUGCCCGGUAGUGGGGGAUAACGUGGGGAAACCCACGCUAAUACCGCAUACGUCCUACGGGAGAAAGCGGAGGAUCUUCGGACUUCGCGCUAUCGGAUGAGCCUAUGUCGGAUUAGCUAGUUGGUAAGGUAACGGCUUACCAAGGCGACGAUCCGUAGCUGGUCUGAGAGGAUGAUCAGCCACACUGGGACUGAGACACGGCCCAGACUCCUACGGGAGGCACGCAGUGGGGAAUAUUGGACAAUGGGCGAAAGCCUGAUCCAGCCAUGCCGCGUGUGUGAAGAAGGCUUUCGAGGUUGUAAAGCACUUUCAGCGAGGAAGAAAGCCUUUGGGUUAAUACCCCAGAGGAAGGACAUCACUCGCAGAAGAAGCCACCGGCUAACUCCGUGCCAGCAGCCGCGAGUAAUACGGAGGGUGCGAGCGUUAAUCGGAAUUACUGGGCGUAAAGCGCGCGUAGGUGGCUUGGCACGCCGGUUGUGAAAGCCCCGGGCUCAACCUGGGANCGGCAUCCGGAACGGCCAGGNUAGAGUGCAGGAGAGGAAGGUAGAAUUCCCGGUGUAGCGGUGAAAUGNGUAGAGAUCGGGAGGAAUACCAGUGGCGAAGGCGGCCUUCUGGCCUGACACUGACACUGAGGUGCGAAAGCGUGGGUAGCAAACAGGAUUAGAUACCCUGGUAGUCCACGCCGUAAACGAUGUCGACUAGCCGUUGGGACCUUUAAGGACUUAGUGGCGCAGUUAACGCGAUAAGUCGACCGCCUGGGGAGUACGGCCGCAAGGUUA